rnacentral:rRNA from 1 species
UACGAAGGGGGCUAGCGUUGCUCGGAAUUAUUGGGCGUAAAGGGUAGGUAGGUGGUCUCGUUUGUCUGGGGUGAAAGCCUUGAGCUUAACUCAAGAAGUGCCUUAGAAACGGCGAGACUAGAGUCUUGGAGAGGGUCGUGGAAUUCCCGGUGUAGCGGUGGAAUGCGUAGAGAUCGGGAGGAACACCAGAGGCGAAGGCGGCGACCUGGACAAGUACUGACACUCAACUACGAAAGCGUGGGGAGCAAACAGG